rnacentral:lncRNA from 1 species
AAACGACGACAGUGAAGCGCAGGAGCUGUGGCGAAGGAGGCGCUGAAGCGGAGGUGGAGGCGCUGAAGCGGAGGUGGAGGCGCGGCAGACUCGUCUCGGUCAAGCUCUCUGUUGGCUUCACCUACUCACCACCAUCACAGGUCAACCCACUUCGCCUUCCUCUUAUCUCUGUUCUCUCGUUCUCUUCAUCUUCUUAUAUAUUUGUAAUUGGUUUUGUUUUUUUUUCAGAUCUGAGAAGCAGCAGUGAUGAAACAGGAAAGAGAAGCAGUGGUGUGACAGAGAGUGUCUCCGGUUAAGGGUGGUGCGUUGGUGGUGCAAAAGCCGUUGGUGGUGCAGCGAUGGUGUGACAGAGCGGCGCUGUGAGAUCCGGUUAGGCCGAGGAGGCGGCUUGAAGCUUGAAGAUUAGGUUUAGUAUUUUUUAUGGUUUUACUUCUUCUUCUUUUUUUAGUUCUGGUUUAGUUGUCAACCGGAUUUAAUUGUAAACCAAACUUUUAUUAGUAAACCAAAUUCAAUUAUUUUGUAAAAAAAAAAAUCAAUGUAUUAUAUAUUUCCAUUGUAUUUUGUGAUUUAUAAUUUUUUUAAUUUUUAAUAAUGUCAAAAAUAACGAAAAUUAUAUAUUUUUAAAAAUAUUUUUCAAAACAUUUGCGAGGAAACUGUGUUUCGUAAAUCUAUUGCAAAUUUGCGAGGAACCAUUUUCCAUCGCAAUUUGCAACGAACCUUCUUCUGUCGCAAAUUUGCGAGGAACCGUCUUCCGUUGCAAAUUUGCGUGGAAACGUUUUCCCUCGCAAAUUUGCAAGGAAAUUGCGAGAGUUUUUUUCCUUGCAACAAACUUGUUUUCUUGUAGUGAAAUUAUAUUAAUAUCCAAAACUAUAUUUCUCUAAAAAACUAUUUUUAAAAAGUAGAGUUAAUUUUUUAAAAUAAAAUUUAAAUGUUUUAAAAAAAAUAAAUUUUAAAUUGUUUUAAAAUAAAUUUAAAAUUUGAGAAAAAAAUUAAAAAAAAAGGAAAUUGCCAAAACGACCACAUUCACAAUACCAUUUGCAUGUUUACGUUAACCAUUUUUUUCUUCACUUAUAAACCUGGGGUUUAUUUUUUAAACAUGUGGUUAACUAAUCUAGGUUUUGAGUUUUGAGUUGAGGGAUGGGGUAUGAUUUUUGGAAUGUAGAGUUUACGGUUUUAAUAAGUAUUUUUAAAAAUUAAAAAAUUUAAAAAAUAGUUUCAAAAUUUUUGAAUUUCAAAAAAAAAAAUUGAAUUUGAAAAAGUAUAAUUCGAAAACAUAAAAAAAAAAUAUUUUUAAUUUUAUUUUUACUUUAUCUUUUAUUUAAAUAAUUAUUUAUUAUCUAUAUAGAGUAAGUGUAUAAGAGUCUCUUGUCUCUUAAUGAAGAAGAUAUUUUUGAAAAAGACAAUUCUCCUAAAUAGACAAUUUUCAAGUUUUGGCCACAAAAAUAGACCACAAGGAGGAAAAUGACCAAAAUGUUUCAUUUAACAGGUAAAAUGACACUAAUACCCUAGAUAUACAAAAAAAUAAAAAAAUUAAAAAUAAUAAAAAAUUUAAAAAAAAAUAAAAAAUAAAAUAAAAUAAAAUAAAACUUUUUUAUAUAGUUUUAGAUUAUAUCUUUUCAAAUUCGAACUUUUUUAUAUAAAAAUAAAUUUGAUUUUUUUUUCGAAUUUUUUUUUUAUUUUUUUAAGAGGAGUAAAAUUAACAUGCGGUCGUAAAAAAAAAAGAAACCCAAUAUUUUGGAUGUCAAACAUUAAAUCACCGAGUCAAUUCACCCCGCGCAAGGCGCGGGUUAUCACCUAGUUCUAAUAUAUUUAAGUUGCAAUUAUAUUGAAAGCAAAUCAUAAACACAAAACCAUUUAAUUAUAUUGUGGCGAAGGAGGCGCUGAAGCGGAGGUGGAGGCGCUGAAGCGGAGGUGGAGGCGCGGCAGACUCGUCUCGGUCAAGCUCUCUGUUGGCUUCACCUACUCACCACCAUCACAGGUCAACCCACUUCGCCUUCCUCUUAUCUCUGUUCUCUCGUUCUCUUCAUCUUCUUAUAUAUUUGUAAUUGGUUUUGUUUUUUUUUCAGAUCUGAGAAGCAGC